rnacentral:rRNA from 1 species
ACGGGAGGCAGCAGUGGGGAAUAUUGGGCAAUGGGCGCAAGCCUGACCCAGCAACGCCGCGUGAAGGAUGGAGGUCUUCGGAUUGUAAACUUCUUUAAUCGGGGAAGAAAAAAAUGACCUACCCGAAGAAUAAGCCACGGCUAACUACGUGCCAGCAGCCGCGGUAAUACGUAGGUGGCAAGCGUUAUCCGGAUUUACUGGGUGCAAAGGGCGUGUAGGCGGCUCUGCAAGUCAGAAGUGAAAUUCCCGGGCUCAACCUGGGCGCUGCUUCUGAAACUGCAGAACUUGAGUACUGGAGGGGAAAGCGGAAUUCCUAGUGUAGCGGUAAAAUGCGCAGAUAUUAGGAGGAACACCAGUGGCGAAGGCGGCUUUCUGGACUGUAACUGACGUUGAGGCACGAAAGUGUGGGGAGCAAACAGGAUUAGAUACCCUGGUA